GCCGAUAUCUUCUCAACAGCUUCAGAGCUCCAGAAGACGUGAACCAGUCAAGCAGCUGCACAAUGUCGGCUCCAAAGACAGCGAACGUAAUUAUCAGUACACGCAGUAACCAGCAUUUGUCUGCUGUAGGCGAUCCACCUCACCUCACGUUUGUCACUGGAGCAGAUCAGAAACAGAAAACAAAAGAGAUCUUCCAAUCAUGCACGAGUAUUUCAGAAACAGAGAUGCCCCCUGUGAUGACCAUCACCUUCAGUCACGAGGUCAAGGGUCACGUGUAUGAUGUCACAGCACGUGCAGACGGAACAGUCGAGUUGCUGGACCACAGCUCUAAGGUCAACGACUUCUCCAGAUGGGCACCACUUCCUUAUUUCAGAGGAAGUUGAAAACAACGUCAGUUACCUGGUGUUCCAAAGCGUCAAAUUUCUAGGAAAGUAUCUCUGCUGCCACGACAACGAUCUCCAGCUUCGCGUCCUUCCAGAAGUUCCUGAAAAGAGGACAGCUUUUCAUUUUGAUUUGAUGCAAAUCCAGUGAUUUGUAACCCAAUGCCAUUUAUAUUUUUACGGUUGUGUUCAGUUUCAUAAAGGUAAUAAAAUGUGUAUAUUAUUACCCAUAUACGCCACCAAA